rnacentral:rRNA from 1 species
CCUACGGGUGGCAGCAGUCGAGAAUAAUUCACAAUGGGGGAAACCCUGAUGGAGCGACGCCGCGUGGGGGAAUGAAGGUCUGCGGAUUGUAAACCCCUGUCAUGUGGGAGCAAAUUAAAAAGAUAGUACCACAAGAGGAAGAGACGGCUAACGCGGGGCCAGCAGCCGCGGUAAUACAGAGGUAUCAAGCGUUCUCCGGAUGUACUGGGUGUAACGGGGGGGCAGCCGGGAAGACAAGUCAGAUGUGAAAUCCCGCGGCUCAACCGCGGAACUGCAUGUGAAACUGUUUUUCUUGAGUACCGGAGAGGUCAUCGGAAUUCCUUGUGUAGCGGUGAAAUGCGUAGAUCUCAGGAAGAACCCCAGUGGCGAAGGCGGAUGACUGGACUGCACCUGCCGGUGAGGCGCGCAAGCGUGGGGAGCAAACAGGAUUAGAUACCCCAGUAGUC